GUAACUGCGAGUGAAGCGGGAAAAGCUCAAAUUUAAAAUCUGGCGGUCUCUGGCCGUCCGAGUUGUAAUCUAGAGAAGUAAUGCCCGUGCUGGACCGUGUAUAAGUCUCCUGGGAUGGGGCGUCAUAGAGGGUGAGAAUCCCGUCUUUGACACGGACUACCAGUGCAUUGUGGUAUGCUCUCAAAGAGUCGAGUUGUUUGGGAAUGCAGCUCAAAAUGGGUGGUAAAUUCCAUCUAAAGCUAAAUAUUGGCGAGAGACCGAUAGCGAACAAGUACCGUGAGGGAAAGAUGAAAAGAACUUUGGAAAGAGAGUUAAACAGUACGUGAAAUUGCUGAAAGGGAAACGCUUGAAGUCAGUCGCGUUGGCCGGGGAUCAGCCUUGCUUUUGCAUGGUGUACUUUCUGGUUGACGGGUCAGCAUCAAUUUUGACCGCUGGAAAAAGACCUGGGGAAUGUGGCAGCUUCGGCUGUGUUAUAGCCCCUAGUCGCAUACAGUGGUUGGGAUUGAGGAACUCAGCACGCCGCAAGGCCGGGUUUCGACCACGUUCGUGCUUAGGAUGCUGGCAUAAUGGCUUUAAGCGACCCGUCUUGAAACACGGACCAAGGAGUCUAACAUGCCUGCGAGUAUUUGGGUGGAAAACCCAAGUGCGUAAUGAAAGUGAAAGUUGAGAUCCCUGUCGUGGGGAGCAUCGACGCCCGGACCAGAACUUUUGGGACGGAUCCGCGGUGGAGCAUGUAUGUUGGGACCCGAAAGAUGGUGAACUAUGCCUGAAUAGGGUGAAGCCAGAGGAAACUCUGGUGGAGGCUCGUAGCGAUUCUGACGUGCAAAUCGAUCGUCAAAUUUGGGGU
rnacentral:rRNA from 1 species